UACGUAGGGGCUAGCGUUGUCCGGAAUCAUUGGGCGUAAAGCGCGUGUAGGCGGUCCGGUAAGUCCGCUGUGAAAGUCGGGGGCUCAACCCUCGGAUGCCGGUGGACGUACUGUCGGGACUUGAGUACGGAAGAGGCGAGUGGAAUUCCUGGUGUAGCGGUGAAAUGCGCAGAUAUCAAGGAGGAACACCAAGUGCGAAGGCAGCUCGCUGGGACGUUACUGACGCUGAGAACGCGAAGCGUGGGAGCAACAGGAUAAGAACCCUGGUAGUCAAGACCAAUGUACCUCUGCACCG
rnacentral:rRNA from 1 species